rnacentral:rRNA from 1 species
UAAUUGAAGAGUUUGAUCAUGGCUCAGAUUGAACGCUGGCGGUAGGCUUAACACAUGCAAGUCGUGCGAGAAAGUAUCUUCGGAUAUGAGUAGAGCGGCGGACGGGUGAGUAACGCGUAGGAAUCUACCUAGUAGAAGGGGAUAGCCCGGGGAAACUCGGAUUAAUACCGUAUACCUCCUUCGGGAGAAAGAAGGCCUCUCUUUGAAGCUUUCGCUAUUAGAUGAGCCUGCGUAAGAUUAGCUUGUUGGUGAGGUAAAGGCUCACCAAGGCGACGAUCUUUAGCGGGUCUGAGAGGACGAUCCGCCACAUUGGGACUGAGACACGGCCCAGACUCCUACGGGAGGCAGCAGUGGGGAAUAUUGGACAAUGGGCGCAAGCCUGAUCCAGCCAUACCGCGUGUGUGAAGAAGGCCCUAGGGUUGUAAAGCACUUUAAGUUGGGAAGAAAAGUUAUUGGUUAAUACCCAAUAACCGUGACAUUACCAUCAGAAUAAGGACCGGCUAAUUCCGUGCCAGCAGCCGCGGUAAUACGGAAGGUCCAAGCGUUAAUCGGAAUUACUGGGCGUAAAGCGCGCGUAGGUGGUUUAUUAAGUUGGAUGUGAAAUCCCCGGGCUCAACCUGGGAACUGCAUCCAAAACUGAUUCACUAGAGUACGAUAGAGGGAGGUAGAAUUCACAGUGUAGCGGUGGAAUGCGUAGAUAUUGUGAAGAAUACCAAUGGCGAAGGCAGCCUCCUGGAUCUGUACUGACACUGAGGUGCGAAAGCGUGGGUAGCGAACAGGAUUAGAUACCCUGGUAGUCCACGCCGUAAACGAUGUCAACUAGCUGUUGGAGAACUAUGUUCUUCAGUGGCGCAGCUAACGUAGUAAGUUGACCGCCUGGGGAGUACGGCCGCAAGGCUAAAACUCAAAUGAAUUGACGGGGACCCGCACAAGCGGUGGAGCAUGUGGUUUAAUUCGAUGCAACGCGAAAAACCUUACCUAUACUUGACAUACUUGGAAUGCUUUGUAAUGAAGCAGUGCCUUCGGGAGCCAAGAUACAGGUGCUGCAUGGCUGUCGUCAGCUCGUGUCGUGAGAUGUUCCGUUAAGUCGGAUAACGAGCGCAACCCUUACCCUUAUUUGCCAGCGAUUCGGUCGGGAACUAUAAGGGGACUGCCGGUGAUAAACCGGAGGAAGGUGAGGACGACGUCAAGUCAUCAUGGCCCUUACGUAUAGGGCUACACACGUGCUACAAUGGAGAAUACAGACGGACGCUAAGCCGCGAGGUGGUGCUAAUCCUAGAAAAUUCUUCGUAGUCCGGAUUGGAGUCUGCAACUCGACUCCAUGAAGUCGGAAUCGCUAGUAAUCGCGAAUCAGCAUGUCGCGGUGAAUACGUUCUCGGGUCUUGUACACACCGCCCGUCAUACCAUGGAAGUGGAUUGCACCAGAAGUAGAUAGUCUAACCUUCGGGAGGGCGUUUACCACGGUGUGCUUCAUGACUGGGGUAAAGUCGUAACAAGGUAGCCGUAGGGGAACCUGUGGCUGGAUCACCUCCUUA